CCGAGUUUAUUUUUAUCAUUUCCUGCGUUUAUCGGGUGUUGCUUGCAAUAAAUUUUUGAAACAACGUAGAUCUAGCAGAAAAACGAAGAAGAUAUUUUCACAGUGUGUAGCAAUUAUAGAAUUAUCUCUACCUAAUCUAACGAAUUAAAACUCAUCCAAAUGAAGAUUAUACGGUCAAAAAUAUACGGUUCAUCUUGAGAAAAAGAAGAUGAUUCAUGCAGAGCUGUUCUAUUCACGGUGUAAUCAAAAGCUUGUCAACCGAACUUGCCUGUUCAUCGAGUUCAAUUUACAUCGUACGUGUCCAUAUGUACGGAGCAAAGCAGAAAAUAGAGGAUUGGACGAGAUAUAUUAAAGAAUGAUCUUUCGCCCAGUUGUGUCAUCUGUCCUUAGACAUGCUGUACAGAGGGAAAGCCCACAGCAUUAGAAGCUUUUCGGAGGAUCGUGGUGAUUCGCGGUCGCACAGACAUUAAAAUGUAAAGUAAGCCUCGGUGGCGAGAAACGAGCUUCGCCCUGCACAGCACCUGCAGAUAACGACGCCCUAUCACGGAGCCAGAAAAACUUAUCGACCUCGGAUGCUGCGACGUCCUGUGUGCUUAACCCGUUUCGGAAUUAUACAAAUUGCGAGCACAUUAGCAUACGAACCGAUGGAGACGACGCCACGCAAUGUGGUGAACUGUACCGGAGACGUGGAAUAAAACUAAAAAGCCGAACGAUAGAUCUCAGAAAAUGAAUAUUUGUACUCUAUGGUUUACGUCGCUGGCGACAAGAAAUGGCGAGCGCGAUGUUAGAUGAAAAUGUAUGUUAAAAUUUUUAGGAUUCAUGGUAACGCGGUACGAAGGGAAAAAAGAACAGAGAGAAACGAGCGGACGACGAAAAUGAUGGUUGCCGUUGUAAAAAGGCUUGGAAAAGAUAUGACUACAUGCAUGAGGAUAUUUAAAGAAGAAGUAAGUAAAUCUGAAAAAUUAUUAAGGUAUUAUUGAAAUUAUUAUCGAAGAACUUUUAUCAGACCAGGAUCCUCUCGCAUAAAAAUUUGUCAACUAAUAAUAUCGAUGAAUCUCACUGAAUCACAGGUUACAGACUAUUCUUUCAUAGGUUUACAUCGAAGAGAAUAAUCAGGUGAUUUGUCAUUUGUAAGAUUCGUUCGUAGAAUUUGUAUUUUUCUAAGUACUG